rnacentral:rRNA from 1 species
UACAGAGGUCUCAAGCGUUGUUCGGAUUCAUUGGGCGUAAAGGGUGCGUAGGUGGCGGGGUAAGUCAGGUGUGAAAUUUCGGAGCUUAACUCCGAAACUGCAUUUGAUACUGCCUUGCUUGAGGACUGGAGAGGAGACUGGAAUUUACGGUGUAGCAGUGAAAUGCGUAGAUAUCGUAAGGAAGACCAGUGGCGAAGGCGGGUCUCUGGACAGUUCCUGACACUGAGGCACGAAGGCCAGGGGAGCAAACGGG